CGGGAAACCGGAGCUAAUACCGGAUGAUAUUUUGAACCGCAUGGUUCAAAAGUGAAAGACGGUCUUGCUGUCACUUAUAGAUGGAUCCGCGCUGCAUUAGCUAGUUGGUAAGGUAACGGCUUACCAAGGCAACGAUGCAUAGCCGACCUGAGAGGGUGAUCGGCCACACUGGAACUGAGACACGGUCCAG
rnacentral:rRNA from 1 species